rnacentral:rRNA from 1 species
UACGUAGGGGGCAAGCGUUGUCCGGAAUCAUUGGGCGUAAAACGCGCGUAGGCGGCUAGAUCAGUCUGCUGUAAAAGUCAAAGGCUCAACCUUUGAAAGCCGGUGGAUACUGUCUAGCUAGAGUCCGGAAGAGGCGAGUGGAAUUCCUGGUGUAGCGGUGGAAUGCGCAGAUAUCAGGAGGAACACCAACGGCGAAGGCAGCUCGCUGGGACGGUACUGACGCUAAGGCGCGAAAGCGUGGGGAGCGAACAGG